UGGGAGUGUCAGGCCAUGGAAAUGAUAGU
rnacentral:piRNA from 1 species